CUCCUAGACCUGCAAGCCCAUGCAGCCUGGUGUCCCUAACGCGGCUGCACCCUCUUGUGGGCGUCGACAUCCGCUUCGGCCCCUCCGGCUGCGCAGCUUGCCACUGUGUUUCUUAGAGUUCUGACUGCCGUUGCUUCUCAUGGGGUCAAAAUGAGAAGGGGCAGCUGGGGUAUGGCCGCAUGUCAACUCUCUUGCGUAACCUGCCAACUGUAGUUUCAGAAAUAUCAAAGUAGGAGAAUCGUCUGCAUUUCCCUUCAUUUUAAUUUUGUAAACAAUUGUGUAUGGUAUUGCUGAAUCCAUGAAUACAUAGCAUCCAACAUACUUGAACUGAAUAGUCCAACAACAUUUACAUGUUUCUAAAUGUGAAUUAGCAGUUGUCAAUUCUGCAGAUACACCAUAAUUACAGCAGGUCCUGGAAUAAAUCAUACGAUCAAAUCCUCUACAGGAAGUCUUGGCUAAGAAAAAAAUGUCCAUAGAUGAUACUGUUGUGAUGGUAAGUUUUGAUGUAUGAUGGUGUUUCAUGCAACUUUUUCCUUCUUUUUCCUGGGUUGAGUGAACAAUAUUGUUAAAGUGAUGGUCCAAAUGCGUGCUAGAAUAUUUACUUCUCAUAAGUUUCGUGAACAUACAAUUUACUACGUGAAUUAUUUGAUCUACCAUGCAA